rnacentral:rRNA from 1 species
AUUGAACGCUGGCGGCAUGCCUUACACAUGCAAGUCGAACGGUAACGCGGGGCAACCUGGCGACGAGUGGCGAACGGGUGAGUAAUGCAUCGGAACGUGCCUGGUAGUGGGGGAUAACUGCUCGAAAGAGCAGCUAAUACCGCAUACGACCUGAGGGUGAAAGGGGGGGAUCGCAAGACCUCUCGCUAUCAGAGCGGCCGAUGUCGGAUUAGCUAGUUGGUGGGGUAAAGGCCCACCAAGGCGACGAUCCGUAGCUGGUCUGAGAGGACGACCAGCCACACUGGGACUGAGACACGGCCCAGACUCCUACGGGAGGCAGCAGUGGGGAAUUUUGGACAAUGGACGCAAGUCUGAUCCAGCCAUGCCGCGUGCGGGAAGAAGGCCUUCGGGUUGUAAACCGCUUUUGUCAGGGAAGAAAUCUUCUGGACUAAUACUCUGGGAGGAUGACGGUACCUGAAGAAUAAGCUCCGGCUAACUACGUGCCAGCAGCCGCGGUAACAC